rnacentral:rRNA from 1 species
GUAGGGAAUAUUGGGCAAUGGUCGGAAGACUGACCCAGCCAUGCCGCGUGCAGGAAGACGGCCCUCUGGGUUGUAAACUGCUUUUAUCUGGGAAGAAAAAGGCCAUGCGUGGCAAAUUGCCGGUACCAGAUGAAUAAGCACCGGCUAACUCCGUGCCAGCAGCCGCGGUAAUACGGAGGGUGCGAGCGUUGUCCGGAUUUAUUGGGUUUACAGGGUGCGUAGGCGGCUGAUUAAGUCAGCGGUGAAAGACUUCGGCUUAACCGGAGCAGUGCCGUUGAUACUGGUUGGCUUGAGUGUCGGAGGGGUACAUGGAAUUGAUGGUGUAGCGGUGAAAUGCAUAGAUACCAUCAGGAACACCGAUAGCGAAGGCAUUGUACUGGCCGACAACUGACGCUGAUGCACGAAAGUGUGGGGAUCGAACAGGAUUAGAUACCCCAGUAGUCC